UACGAAGGGGGCUAGCGUUGCUCGGAAUUACUGGGCGUAAAGCGUGCGUAGACGGUUAUUUAAGUCGGGUGUGAAAGCCCCGGGCUCAACCUGGGAAUUGCAUUCGAGACUGAAUAGCUAAGGUACGGUAGAGGGAAGUGGAAUUUCCGGUGUAGCGGUGAAAUGCGUAGAUAUCAAGAGGAACACCUGAGGUGAAGACGGGUUGCUGGGCCGACACUGACGCUGACAGCGCGAAAGCCAGGGGAGCAAACGGG
rnacentral:rRNA from 1 species